CCGGUUCAUCUAAGCACUGGGAAUUCUAAAGUACAGCCAAGACUGAGCCGUCUUGCUCUACGGAGACAGCAAGUUGGGAGGCCUAGAGUCCAGUGUGUGUAACAGCAGUGUCUUCCAACUUCUUCACUGGCCGAACAUGGCCUUCAGAACAGCUCUCCUGUCUAGCUGCGGAACCUUGAGUGAGUCGCACAGCUUUCCCGUGAAAGGCUUCAGUGUGUUUAAACUCCCUGGACAGUCCCUGCCAUCAGCCUUCUCCUUAACCUCUGCUAAACAAAGCCAAAGAAUUCGAGUGAGGACGGGCUUUAGAAUUCUAUCAUGCUGGAGCCUAAAGACAAGGCAGUGCUUGGGAGGCCCUUGGGCGUCGCUUGCUGAGAACAAUCCUGGGAAAUGACCCAUGUGAGAUGGAAGCCCAAAUGUGUUUCCUGAUGUCUCUCGACUCAACAACAUGCUAACACUAAAUACGCAGGUGCCACUUCCUCAUGCACCAGGUCCAAACUCCCAAACCCAUAUGUUGGCCUCUCCCAACCUUUUACCUGGAAUGGGAAAGCAACUGUUUCCUCAUGGGAAUGAUCUGCUGGGGUAUUACAGACUAGAGGCUGCCAGAAUGUGGGGCAAGUCUACCUCUUUACAAGCCAGAAGGACUUGUAGGCCUGGUGCUGGAUUGUAAAUGUAUCACCUCCCCCGUGGGGCUCAGCCAGAAGGUCUGGUGCUCAUGGGCACCAAGCCCAUCUUGGUCAUGGGAAUCCGACCUAUGAAGACACUGGCCAGAGGACAAGGCCCUGGGCUCAAAGCGAGUUGGCGCGUUGCUCUAGGAGGCCUGGCCCCUGGUCGUCCUGGGAAGUGUGAGGGCUUAGCUCCUAAAUGAGAUUGCUGGUGUUGACAGCCGGAGGCCAGGGAUCUGGGGCCACUUGCUAUCUGGGAGCCAGUGGUCCUGGUGUAUAAGAGGCACCCUCUCCAAGAUGGGGGCUCUGGAUUCUGUAGAUACCCACUUAGCCCCCCCCGAGGGCUCCUGGAGUGUCAGACCCGUCUCAUGGCACCGGUGGGCUUAUCAGGUUGAAUUGAGUGCUUCUGGAGUGUGGACAGGGCCAGAGGAAGGCCAGCAGCUCCGGGCUUCCUGCCAGGCAGCUCAGGGCCCAGAAGAGCCUAGGAGUCACGAGAUACUUGCUCUCACCCUGCAACCAGCUCCAGUCUGCUGGGUCAGGGUGCACACUUGGAGCCAGGCAGGCUGAGCGCCCAGGUAAGUGAGUACUGUGGGCAAGGGGCUGGGUUCCUUGGACUUGGGCCUUCUUACCCUUGCAGCAGGGUAACGAAGCCACCUCCUUCCUUCUUGCUGCAAGGCUGGCUUAGAAAAGUCCCGAGGGAUGCACCAUCAUUUCAAGGGAGAGGAGAGAAGAAAGGAAAGAGAGGGGAGGAGAGAGAGAGAAGGCCAAGCUGUUUUACAUUGCCUGAGCUUCCUGCUCUAGCCAGAUAUCACAAUUAAAUACUAUUGACCCAGCACCGCCAAACUUGCUGGCUCCGACUUGAAUUUCUGUUCUGUUUUCAAAUCCAGAACUGAAGAACACAUCUCCUUGAACACUGUGUCUUUUAGCCCAGUCCUCUUGGCCUGUGAGCUUCAAGCUUGGAUCUAGCCCAGGAUUGCCAAGGUCAAGUGACGAUUUCCUUGACUCCAGAAGAGAACACUCGAGGAGAGGAAGCAGAAGGCUGCAAAGGACCAGGUGUGGUGGAAAGGGAAAGCCUCCAGGAGAGCGCUUCCUGUCCUUCAGCUAGCUCCUGCUCUCUCUGCCCUCUUCUGUGUGUGUGCACAAUCGUAUCUGCAUCACAUGCCUAGGUGCCGCCCGCGGUAGUUCACACAGCCUCAGUGGGGGAGCAUUUCUGCAUCUGGCCACAGCGAAAACUAAAUGGAGAGCCAGGAUGAGAGAACGGACGGAUGGAGACAGAAGGAACCGUGUUGGAGAAGGUACAGUAUAAUGGAAGGCGGCACACUGCGUCCUUUACCUAUGUGCCACUCACUGGGGUGCGGACGGAAACAGCAGGGGGGUCCAGAGAGAUGGAACUCAUCCCCCUGGGUAGAACCAGAUAGAGACAGCCCACCCAGGACACAGUGCCUGCUUUCCAGUCACACAGGGGCUUCCAUCUUGGGCUGAGAUGGCUUUUUAAAGGGGCUGAAAACGGAGAGCGUUGACAAUUACCCAGGUAUUUUGAUCACCAAGGACCCUGAAACCAGAUAAACAGUCUUUUCUUUUCUUUCUUUUUAAACUGCCACAGCAAUAGCAGCCCCUGUAACUUGAGCUCAUGCUGAAUCACACUGUAAGGAUUCCACUGCCCGUGUCCCCUUGACCGUCCACAACAACACUACAUCAUAGCCUCAUAGGAUAAGAAAAGCGAGGCGCUGGGCCAUUAAGGAAGUUGCACAGCUCAUCUUGCCGGGAGCUGGGGGUUUCCAUAUCCACCUCCACAAUGCAAUAGCCAGGCCAGGAGAGAGUUCAGAGCUCUGAAUUGGAGGCUCCGAGUCUCGAUCGGGACUGGCUUGGGAAAUGUUGCAGACGGUUCUUUUAAAAGGGAGAAACAGUCCAAAUCACAGCAGUCAAAGAGGUCAUUAGUCAAGUCUCUACAGAUGCAAAGUCUUUAUAUAUAUAUAGUUUGGGUGACUUGCCUCAGGCGAUAGAAGUACGCCUUGGGUAGUACGGCCCCAAGGGAAAGAGAGGAAGGAUAAUGGCUUCAAAUUGUGGGGUGCUACCUGCCAGGAGUGGUCAGUCACUGGGGUCACUAACUGAGCAAUAACCAGAAGUUUCAAAGAAAUGAAAUAUAAUCAAAGAGUAAAUAGAGCUAUGCGUGCCCAUAUUUCCUGGUUCUUUUCAGUUGCGUGUGUCUACGCCUACGAACCCUGUGUGUAAAUGUCUCUGGGCCACCACAAUAGCCUUAAAAUGCCGCUGGACUAGGGAAUGAGCACGGGGGAGGAAGACCUCGGGGGAGUGACAGGAAGCUUGGGCAAAAUCCAACAUUUGCUCCUUGAUGCUAGCAAAACCGUUUUGAAAUAACCACUGGACCUAUUUUUAGGGCUACCAAAAUUACCUCCUACUUUGAUCUCUAGCAUCGACCAGGAUGGCUCCUCCACAGGCUGGACGCUCCUCACUAGCACAUGCUAUUCCCGUGGGCCAGACAGAGGCCCAGGGAAGCCAUCACACCGGAAAGAGGCAAGAGCCAGCAGCAGAAAUGGGUGAAAAUAACAGUGGAUCCUGAGAUCUAGUUCUGGUUACCGCUUAGAGGACAGCCUACUUAAACAAAGAAGUGAGCGGUCAGACAAUGCUGCCGGCCAGAGAUGAAACAAAUGUUCAAGCAGCUUGACUCUGAGACAGUUCAUGCUGUGCACAACCCCCCCACCCCCCCCCACACACACACCCUCUGCAUCAGAUUUUCAUGAGAAGGAAGUCUCAGAAAGAAAUUCCCCAGAGAGAUUCGGGGAAGCUAUGAAGCAUUGCCCUGAGCUCCCUUGCAGCUGAAGACACAUCAGAACCAUCUGGAAAGCCCAGGGCCCAAUGAGUGAGACAUACCUGCGUUCUAAUCCCAGGUAUCCUCUUUAAAACUGUGUGUGGGAUAGUUUCAUGUCAACUCGACACAAGCGAACGUCAUCUGAGAGGAGGGAACCUCAAUUCAGAAAAUGCCUCCAUAAG